GACAGAGGGUGCAAACGUUGUUCGGAAUUACUGGGCGUAAAGCGUGUGUAGGCGGUCCUCUAAGUCGGAUGUGAAAUCCCUGGGCUCAACCCAGGAAGUGCACUCGAAACUGGAGGGCUAGAGUAUCGGAGAGGUUGGUGGAAUUCUCGGUGUAGAGGUGAAAUUCGUAGAUAUCGAGAGGAACACCGGUGGCGAAGGCGGCCAACUGGACGAAUACUGACGCUGAGACACGAAAGCGUGGGGGAGCAAACAGG
rnacentral:rRNA from 1 species